GAUGAACGCUGGCGGCGUGCCUAAUACAUGCAAGUCGAGCGAACGGACGAGAAGCUUGCUUCUCUGAUGUUAGCGGCGGACGGGUGAGUAACACGUGGAUAACCUACCUAUAAGACUGGGAUAACUUCGGGAAACCGGAGCUAAUACCGGAUAAUAUUUUGAACCGCAUGGUUCAAAAGUGAAAGACGGUCUUGCUGUCACUUAUAGAUGGAUCCGCGCUGCAUUAGCUAGUUGGUAAGGUAACGGCUUACCAAGGCAACGAUGCAUAGCCGACCUGAGAGGGUGGUCGGCCACACUGGAACUGAGACACGGUCCAGACUCCUACGGGAGGCCGCAGUAGGGAAUCUUCCGCAAUGGGCGAGAGCCUGACGGAGCAACGCCGCGUGAGUGAUGAAGGUCUUCGGAUCGUAAAACUCUGUUAUUAGGGAAGAACAUAUGUGUAAGUAACUGUGCACAUCUUGACGGUACCUAAUCAGAAAGCCACGGCUAACUACGUG
rnacentral:rRNA from 1 species